UACGAACUGUGCAAACGUUAUUCGGAAUCACUGGGCGUAAAGGGUGCGUAGGUGGUUGGGUAAGUUUGAUGUGAAAUCUCCGGGCUUAACCCGGAAACUGCAUUGAAUACUAUCUGGCUAGAGGGUUGGAGGGGGGACUGGAAUACUUGGUGUAGCAGUGAAAUGCGUAGAUAUCAAGUGGAACACCAGUGGCGAAGGCGAGUCCCUGGACAACUCCUGACACUGAGGCACGAAAGCUAGGGGAGCAAACAGG
rnacentral:rRNA from 1 species